rnacentral:rRNA from 1 species
UACGAGGGGUGCAAGCGUUGCUCGGAAUUAUUGGGCGUAAAGGGUAGGUAGGUGGUCUCGUUUGUCUGGGGUGAAAGCCUUGAGCUUAACUCAAGAAGUGCCCUAGAAACGGCGAGACUAGAGUCUUGGAGAGGGUCGUGGAAUUCCCGGUGUAGCGGUGAAAUGCGUAGAUAUCGUAAGGAAGACCAGUGGCGAAGGCGGAUCUCUGGACAGUUACUGACACUGAGGCACGAAGGCCAGGGGAGCAAACGGG